rnacentral:lncRNA from 1 species
AAAAAUGCAGGUUUAAUCAUUUCCAUCUAGGGUGCACAUCACUGGAAUUCUAGGGAGAUAUUACCCUACACACCUACCUCUACUUCAUAAAAUGCACUUGUCACCUGUGGGUUCAACCCUCAGUGCUAAUGAAAAUCCAGUGCAAAUGAAGCAAACAAGCUAUGGUAAAGGCGAUAGGAUCAAAUUGGUUUCUUUUUUAUAUUUUUCUAAGCUUCUAUACAGAUUACUUUGAGUUAAAAUGGUAGAGUUAACAGAAAUGCUGAAAAUUUCCUCUCCCCAAUUGUUUGUGCAAUCUUCAGAAACUGUCAGAGGAAAAUAAAUUUUUAGCAACUGCAGUAAAAAUGCAGAAAACAAAAAUGCUUCAAAUUAUCAGAAAUUGCACAAUCUAGUUUCCCACUGCAGAUUAAGAACGAGGCCGUCAGUAAGCAGAAAAUCAUUACUUCUUGCAAUUCACCUAAGGAAUUGAAGUUUCUCCCACAUCUUAUCUACCCCGGAGCAUUUUCAACUUUCAUCUCCAUUUGCAGCAAAUCUCUGCUUGCAGUGAGCAGAAUUCUGCACUGCACUCACCGUGGAGGGUACCUGGGUCCUGGCUAUUCUCAUCGACCUGCCUGACAUUUCCCACAGGGCCAGCUGGAGGUUUGUGCUGGAGCUCAGGGAGUGAAUCUACUUCCACCUGCAAGCUGCAGUGAGGGAUGGGUGGAGCAUUGGGUGGAGCAGGAGAGAAGGAGCCGGCCCUCUGUGGGCCAGAGGAACAAGACAUAAUAUCAAAUAUCUUCUUUCUGCCUUGAUGCGACCAUUUACUGUGGUUUUGUCACGUGCUAGGCACUGACCUGAGUCCUUCACACACAUUAUAUCAUUUUGUCUCUUCCAUGGGCUUUUGAAGUAAGAGCUAUUCUCAUCCCAUCAAGCUGAAAUCCAAAUUCAAGUUGUCUGAUUUCACUAUGAGGCCCUGACUGAGAGAGAACAUCCUAAGGGAGAGGUUUUACUGAAACAGAAAGGAGAGGCACCAAAUUCUAAUCCACCUUCGACACCCCUAUAGCAAAUUUGACUGGAAUGCAAGAAUAAUUUGUUAUUAGAUAAAACAAUGCUAUAGAUCAUUGCAUUGGAAAAUUAAAGGGGAAAAUAUUAUAGUUACUAUAUACCUAUCAGUGGCCAAAAAGCAUAGGCUACUAUUCAGCCUUUCAUUUCUAAUACAAACGCUAGAUAAAACAGGAGCAGCUGAAGCUCGUCUAAGCAGGGUAAAGACUGAAAAGUCAACAGUGAACAUCAAGUUCAAUCAGCGCUCUCAACUUUGGCUGCUCAUUCGAGCCACCUGCAGAUCCUUGAAAUUCCCAAGGUCACACAGCACACCAAUUGCAUCAGAAUCUGUGGGGGCAAGAGCCAGGCAUCAGUAUUUAUUUUAAAGUUCCUCAGAUGAUUCCAAUUUGCAGCCAGUAUUGGAAAGCGCUGGGUUAAAUUGGGCUUUCCCAGCCCAAUUUAGCGCCGCUUUUCCCAUCAGGAGAUGCGGUGGGGUGGAACAUGCUGGGAUGUCUCUCUGGUUUGGUUUGAAGGCUGGCUCCAAGGGUACAGGUGUUACCGGUGGGGGGUGUUCAGGUUCUUGGAGUCUUGGACAAGAGUUGGACAAAACGCACAAAGAAAGAAAGAAAAGAAUAAAGCAACAAAGCAGAGAUUUACUGAAAAUGAAAGUACACUCCACAGUGUGGAAGUUGACCCAAGCAAGCAGAUUAAAAGCCAAGUUACAGAAUUUUCUGGGGUUUGAAAACCCUCUAGAGGUUGCCCAUUGGUUACUUGGUUUACACCCUAUGUAAAUGAAGUAGUGGCCUACAAUCAGUCUGAUUGGUUGUGGGAGGGGACCAAUCAGAGGCUGAAGUGAAGUUACAAAGUUAUACUCCUAUGCAAAUGAAGACUUGGCCUGGGACCAGCCUGAUUGAUUGCAGGAGGGGACCAAUCAGAGGCCCCACUCGCCAAGUACACACUGAAGCCUCACCAUUGUGCUCCCGUCAAAGCCCUGGUUUCCUCCAUGGGAGCUGGCCCUUCAGGACCUCUCAGCUGUGCUCCUGUGGGGUCUGGCAGCUCUCUGAAAAUCGCCGGGAAAGUUGGGAUUGCCCCGCAGCGUGGGGGUGAUGCCGCUGCAGCGCAGGCUGGGACAGAGAGCAGCCCGGAUGCGCGGAGCAGACUUGGACUUCAGAGCACCUUCGCUGAAGCCGAGUGCUGCUGUGCCAGAGAAGUAAAAUGAAGCUCAGAGAAGUUAUGUCACCGGUACAGGAUGAAGCUGACUUGCAGCCAAGGCUUCGCCUCCAGCACCAUGGCCCUAGAUGUGGUGGCCUCACCUUAUUGACUGAGUUGCUUUCCCUGAUCUAUGAAGAUACAUAGUGAGCCAGUGAGAGCUUAAAAAAACUGUGAGCCAAUUUUGCAAGCACCUCUGGCAAGAUGUCGUGGUGGUCUAGAGGGGCUGUCACACAAUGCAGCUGGAGGAAGGUGAGGGUAUACCUCGGCCGUCCUCAUCGUCCCUCCUUCUUUCUUGUCCUGGUGCCCAGGGAUUGCUGUAGUAACAGUACAGGUCCCUCUGGAAUCCCGGGGGAACCGAAUAUUGGUAAACGAAGAGGUGAUGUGGCUGGUGGAGAAGAGGAUAUGGAGAUGGCAUAACACAAGCCCCAUGGACCCCCAGCUCCAGGCUGAGCCUGUGUGGACCACAGCACUGUGAUCCAGGUGUCCUCCUGCCUCCUGCCAUCUUUUGGAUUGUUUGGAAGCUCAAUUCAAAUUAUUCACGAAAACUCAAAUAUUUGUUUCCUAUUAAAAAAAAAAGUCUUCUUUUUAAAACAAACUCUGAGAUUGACCAAGGCACACAGAUGCCCUGGAGCUUCCUCCCCAACUCCACUGGGCUAUUCUCUCCCUUGCAGUUCAGCUGCUGCUUCCUUCCAUGCCAAAGAGCAUCCCCAUCUCCAACUCGUCCUUUCUCCUUUGUGCAUUAAAACAACUUGAGAUCCUCAGAAUGGACUGCUCCCCAAACUAAAACAAAAAAAUGCAAGCAUAAUAAAAUGCAUAGAAAGGCAUGGAAUCAAACUUGAAAUAUGCAAGGUUUGGGCAUUCCAUUAUUUAUGAGCAUGAAGGCCUUUCACAAAUCAAAAUCUCUUUUAAAUUGAAAGUGCCUUUCUUCCUCUCCCCCUCCUUCCCUCCUUUCCUCCCACCCUCAAUCCCUUCCCUUCUUUCUCUCCCUUUUUUUCUCACCUUCUCAACUUCUAUCUUUCUUAAGAUAAGAGGUUCGUGUGAUGCUCCUAUUUAUGUGGCUUUCUUUAAAAAUGAGAAGAGGAGGAGCCAGGCUACACCAAGGAAAUACUCAACCCCAUGCUUCUGCAGGUGUCAACCUAGAAGGCACCAAUCCAGGUGGAAGAGGUUCUCUCUCCUGCCCUACUGUCUUUGCCAGGGGUGGUGU